UGGGGAAUCUUGCGCAAUGGGCGAAAGCCUGACGCAGCAAUGCCGCGUGUGUGAAGAAGGUCUUCAGAUUGUAAAGCACUUUCGGCGGGGACGAUGAUGACGGUACCCGCAGAAGAAGCCCCGGCCAACUUCGUGCCAGCAGCCGCGGGAAUACGAAGGGGGCUAGCGUUGCUCGGAAUGACUGGGCGUAAAGGGCGCGUAGGUGGUUCGGAAAGUUAGAUGUGAAAUUCCUGGGCUUAACCUGGGGGCUGCAUUUGAUACUGCCGGGCUUGAGUAUGGAAGAGGGUCGUGGAAUUCCCAGUGUAGAGGUGAAAUUCGUAGAUAUUGGGAAGAACACCGGUGGCGAAGGCGGCGACCUGGUCCAUAACUGACGCUGAGGCGCGAAAGCGUGGGGAGCAAAC
rnacentral:rRNA from 1 species